rnacentral:tRNA from 1 species
CUUUUAAAGGAUAGAAAGCU